rnacentral:rRNA from 1 species
CGUAGGUGGCAAGCGUUUGUCCGGAAUUAUUGGGCGUAAAGCGCGCGCAGGCGGCUUCUUAAGUCCAUCUUAAAAGUGCGGGGCUUAACCCCGUGAUGGGAUGGAAACUGAGAGGCUGGAGUAUCGGAGAGGAAAGUGGAAUUCCUAGUGUAGCGGUGAAAUGCGUAGAGAUUAGGAAGAACACCGGUGGCGAAGGCGACUUUCUUGGACGACAACUGACGCUGAGGCGCGAAAGCGUUGGGGAGCAA